CUCUGUGUCUCCUACGGGAGGCAGCAGUGGGGAAUAUUGCACAAUGGGGGAAACCCUGAUGCAGCCAUGCCGCGUGUGUGAAGAAGGCCUUCGGGUUGUAAAGCACUUUCAGUAGGGAGGAAGGUAGUGUAGUUAACACCUGCAUUACUUUGACGUUACCUACAGAAGAAGCACCGGCUAACUCCGUGCCAGCAGCCGCGGUAAUACGGAGGGUGCGAGCGUUAAUCGGAAUUACUGGGCGUAAAGCGCAUGCAGGCGGCUUGUUAAGUCAGAUGUGAAAGCCCGGGGCUUAACCUCGGAAUUGCAUUUGAAACUGGCAGGCUAGAGUCUUGUAGAGGGGGUAGAAUUUCAGGUGUAGCGGUGAAAUGCGUAGAGAUCUGAAGGAAUACCAGUGGCGAAGGCGGCCCCCUGGACAAAGACUGACGCUCAGAUGCGAAAGCGUGGGGAGCAAACAGGAUUAGAUACCCUGUAG
rnacentral:rRNA from 1 species